UAUGUUUACGUAAACUUUAUAAUUACAAUCAUUCCAUUCGUUGCUAAAUAUAUUGCGCGACGCUACGUUCGUUGCGUAAGAUGACUUUGCACGACGAAUAACAGAUGUUUGUUGUGCAAAGCAUGGUCAGAUUGUGUUCAAACCUUCCCAUUUAUUGCGCAUUUAUGAUGCAUUUUGCACGACGAACAAGGAGAUUUGCACGACGAAUGGGUUCGUCGCGCAAAGGUAUCCUAUUGUUAUUUAAACACGGUUUCAGAACCCUAGUUUUCAAAAAAAAAAAA
rnacentral:lncRNA from 1 species